UACACAGGUCUCAAGCGUUGUUCGGAUUCAUUGGGCGUAAAGGGUGCGUAGGCGGCGCGGUAAGUCGGGUGUGAAAUCUCGGAGCUUAACUCCGAAACUGCAUUCGAUACUGCCGUGCUUGAGGACUGGAGAGGAGACUGGAAUUUACGGUGUAGCGGUGAAAUGCGUAGAUAUCGUAAGGAAGACCAGUGGCGAAGGCGGGUCUCUGGACAGUUCCUGACGCUGAGGCACGAAGGUCAGGGGAGCAAACGGG
rnacentral:rRNA from 1 species